AUUGAACGCUGGCGGCAGGCUUAACACAUGCAAGUCGAGCGGAGAUGAGGUGCUUGCACCUUAUCUUAGCGGCGGACGGGUGAGUAUCGCUUAGGAAUCUGCCUAUUAGUGGGGGACAACAUUCCGAAAGGAAUGCUAAUACCGCAUACGUCCUACGGGAGAAAGCAGGGGAUCUUCGGACCUUGCGCUAAUAGAUGAGCCUAAGUCGGAUUAGCUAGUUGGUGGGGUAAAGGCCUACCAAGGCGACGAUCUGUAGCGGGUCUGAGAGGAUGAUCCGCCACACUGGGACUGAGGCACGGCCCAGACUCCUACGGGAGGCAGCAGUGGGGAAUAUUGGACAAUGGGGGGAACCCUGAUCCAGCCAUGCCGCGUGUGUGAAGAAGGCCUUAUGGUUGUAAAGCACUUUAAGCGAGGAGGAGGCUACUGAGACUAAUACUCUUGGAUAGUGGACGUUACUCGCAGAAUAAGCACCGGCUAACUCUGUGCCAGCAGCCGCAGUAACAC
rnacentral:rRNA from 1 species